rnacentral:rRNA from 1 species
AUUGAACGCUGGCGGAAUGCUUUACACAUGCAAGUCGAACGGUAGAGGGGGGCAACCCCCUUGAGAGUGGCGAACGGGUGAGUAAUAUAUCGGAACGUGCCCAGUCGUGGGGAUAACGUAGCGAAAGUUACGCUAAUACCGCAUACGAUCUACGGAUGAAAGCGGGGGAUCGCAAGACCUCGCGCGAUUGGAGCGGCCGAUAUCAGAUUAGGUAGUUGGUGAGGUAAAGGCUCACCAAGCCGACGAUCUGUAGCUGGUCUGAGA